rnacentral:ncRNA from 1 species
CGUAUCGGCUGAAUCAGAGAUUGGCUGGUACAUUUGUUUAUAUUAACUCUUAGGAGAGUAUUAUGUCUCUGAAUGCAGAAACUAAAGCAGCUAUCGUUGCAGAAUAUGCACGUGAAGAA